rnacentral:rRNA from 1 species
AUUGAACGCUGGCGGCAUGCUUUACACAUGCAAGUCGAACGGUAACAGGCCGCAAGGUGCUGACGAGUGGCGAACGGGUGAGUAAUGCAUCGGAACGUGCCCAGUCGUGGGGGAUAACGCAGCGAAAGCUGUGCUAAUACCGCAUACGAUCUAUGGAUGAAAGCGGGGGACCGUAAGGCCUCGCGCGAUUGGAGCGGCCGAUGUCAGAUUAGGUAGUUGGUGGGGUAAAGGCCUACCAAGCCGACGAUCUGUAGCUGGUCUGAGAGGACGACCAGGCAAACUGGGACUGAGACACGGCCAAGAGUCCUACGGGAGGCAGCAGUGGGGAAUUUUGGACAAUGGGCGCAAGCCUGAUCCAGCAAUGCCGCGGGCAGGAAGAAGGCCUUCGGGUUGUAAACUGCUUUUGUACGGAACGAAACGGUCUGGGUUAAUACCCUGGGCUAAUGACGGUACCGUAAGAAUAAGCACCGGCUAACUACGUGCCAGCAGCCGCCGUAACAC